rnacentral:ribozyme from 12 species
UUUAAUAGUAUUUUCUCUGCUGUUUUUUUGUCAUUUUUGUAAAUUUUUUUUUUCUUGCCAUUCUUUCUUUCAGAAUUUGGUUUGUUUUUAAA